rnacentral:rRNA from 1 species
UCCGGUGACUUUAGCGAGGGGGAAACACCCGUUCCCAUUCCGAACACGGCAGUUAAGCCCCUCAGCGCCAAUGGUACUGCCUGCGAAGGUGGGUGGGAGAGUCGGUCGUUGCCGGGA